AUCAAUGAAAGUCAGGCUUCAGCAAUCAGUCAAUUACAGCAAUUAGUUAAUUAGCCCACCAGUUAAGCUAAUGGAGACUUCUGGCCCUAAAAACAAACACAGACUUGCCAGAAGAGGCUCCGAAGUGCAUUGAGUGGCAUGUAUGAAAUCUGUGUGUUGAUUACAGCUUCCUCUUUUUGACAUUGGGGAGUAGCAUGGAGAAUUUGGAAGCUUGUAAAAGCCUUCAGUGAAACAAGGCAAUACGUGCCUUCCUGUUGCAUUCACGUGCUGGGCUGCCAAUUGUCCAUACAUCGGCAUGUAUUGAAAGAAAUCUCUGGAGCAUCGGUCUCUCCAUUCAUGGCUUUGCCAACUUCUUUCCCGGAUCUCCACCAUCAAGACUAUGAACUUCUAUUAAGAAUUGAAAGGACAUUGGGUUUCCGGGUGAUUUUUUGCACUUUUGCUUGAAUUGUUUGAUAAACUUUAUAUUUUCAUAA